rnacentral:rRNA from 1 species
AUGCCAUGCCUUAUUAAACCGGACAUGCAUCAUACUUGUUUGUGCAUCAUGCCAUGUUUAUGCUUGUGCAUUUACUAUGUUGUUUGCUUCUUUCCGGGUUGCCUUCGGUUUCGUUCCGGAGUUGUGAGGAUUCGUUCGACUACUUCCGCUUGUCUUCUUCAUGGACUCGUUCUUCUUCCUAGCGGGAUUUCAGAAACGAGAGAUUUUUCAAGACCUUGCUCCACUGCUGUGGCACUCCUUUGGCACUGUUGCUGCACUGCUCCAGCUCACAUCCCACUGUACCUGUACCCGUUCCUGAAUACUACCAGCAAGACAAGACCUUUUGAGUACUUGAGGCUUACCAGCUUGGGUGUUAUUGGUGCUCUUGUGAAGGUAAAUUAA